rnacentral:lncRNA from 1 species
AGUGAGAACAAUUCUCAGGUUCCUUAAUCAGUCGAUAUAGUUAGGUCUGAUCAACUUGUUUGCAUCUAGGAUGCCUCUAAGUAAAAGUAAGGAUGCCAUGUGUGUAGUUAAUCUACAAUAACAAGAACAUAAUAUAAGCGGAUGACUCAUGAUGACAUUCAUAACUAGAUUAGGAUUUUUAUCUAAUUGUGUCUUUCACUAUUUUAUCAAACUUCAUAGCCUUC